AGACAAUGACUAUUGAUAUUUGGUCUUGUUCAUCGUAACUGGCAUCUUUUGGCCUUGCCAACCAUUCUGUUAUACGACCACCUAUAUUCUGAGUUU